GACAGAGGGUGCAAACGUUGUUCGGAAUUACUGGGCGUAAAGCGCACGUAGGCGGCUUUGCAAGUUAGAGGUGAAAGCCCGGGGCUCAACCCCCGGAAUUGCCUUUAAAACUGCAUCGCUAGAAUUGUGGAGAGGUAAGUGGAAUUCCGAGUGUAGAGGUGAAAUUCGGAGAUAUUCGGAAGAACACCAGUGGCGAAGGCGACUUACUGGACACAUAUUGACGCUGAGGUGCGAAAGCGUGGGGAGCAAACAGG
rnacentral:rRNA from 1 species